UACGGAGGGGGCUAGCGUUGUUCGGAAUUACUGGGCGUAAAGCGCACGUAGGCGGCUUUGUAAGUUAGAGGUGAAAGCCCGGGGCUCAACUCCGGAAUUGCCUUUAAGACUGCAUCGCUAGAAUUGUGGAGAGGUAAGUGGAAUUCCGAUUGUAGAGGUGAAAUUCGUAGAUAUUCGGAAGAACACCAGUGGCGAAGGCGACCUACUGGACACAUAUUGACGCUGAAGUGCGAAAGCGUGGGGAGCAAACAGG
rnacentral:rRNA from 1 species